CCUACGGGAGGCAGCAGUGAGGAAUAUUGGUCAAUGGACGAGAGUCUGAACCAGCCAAGUAGCGUGAAGGAUGACUGCCCUAUGGGUUGUAAACUUCUUUUAUAAAGGAAUAAAACGAGGCACGUGUGCCUUUUUGCAUGUACUUUAUGAAUAAGGAUCGGCUAACUCCGUGCCAGCAGCCGCGGUAAUACGGAGGAUCCGAGCGUUAUCCGGAUUUAUUGGGUUUAAAGGGAGCGUAGAUGGGUUGUUAAGUCAGUUGUGAAAGGUUGCGGCUCAACCGUAAAAUUGCAAUUGAUACUGGCAGUCUUGAGUACAGUUGAGGUAGGCGGAAUUCGUGGUGUAGCGGUGAAAUGCUUAGAUAUCACGAAGAACCCCGAUUGCGAAGGCAGCUUACUAAACUGUGACUGACAUUGAUGCUCGAAAGUGUGGGUAUCAAACAGGAUUAGAUACCACUGUAGUC
rnacentral:rRNA from 1 species